rnacentral:tRNA from 1 species
GGGCGUGUAGCUCAGUUGGCUAGAGCGCAUUCCUGAUAAGAAUGAGGUCCUUGGUUCAAAUCCAAGCACGCCCACAA